rnacentral:rRNA from 1 species
CGUAGGGCGCGAGCGUUGUCCGGAUUUAUUGGGCGUAAAGAGCUCGUAGGCGGCUUGUCGCGUCGACCGUGAAAACUUGGGGCUCAACCCCAAGCCUGCGGUCGAUACGGGCAGGCUAGAGUUCGGUAGGGGAGACUGGAAUUCCUGGUGUAGCGGUGAAAUGCGCAGAUAUCAGGAGGAACACCGGUGGCGAAGGCGGGUCUCUGGGCCGAUACUGACGCUGAGGAGCGAAAGCGUGGGGAGCGAACAGGAUUAGAUACCCUGGUAGUCCACGCUGUAAACGUUGGGCGCUAGGUGUGGGGGGCCUCUCCGGUUCCCUGUGCCGCAGCUAACGCAUUAAGCGCCCCGCCUGGGGAGUACGGCCGCAAGGCUA